AUUAGCAACGUGGAUGAAAUCUGAUGGUCAGGAACAGUUUGCUCCAGACAAGUAAAUGUUCUUUUCUUAUAUGUAAAAAUCACAGUAGUGCAUAAGGCUCUUUUAACAACAACUCUGAUGGUGAUUGGCUUCAUUCGCUCCUGAUGAAUGUCUCAUCAUCAUUCAUUCCAUCCUUCUACCACAGCUUGGAGACUGUUUUGUCAGCUGUGCCACUGGAAAUGUCCUCUUCUACGUUGAAUCGAUCUGCAUUUAGACAAGUCUCAGUGAGAUUACUUGACAGAUUUAGCUGUUUCCUUUCAGAACCUAUGGCCUCCACAACACACUGCACCCAUCAGCACUGCAGUUUCGUUAUGAAGUGUACGGAAAAGGACUUCUUUUUCUGGGAUGUGGUCUAA
rnacentral:lncRNA from 1 species